rnacentral:rRNA from 1 species
AAGACCUUGCGCUUUUGGAGCGGCCGAUGUCUGAUUAGCUAGUUGGUAGGGUAAUGGCCUACCAAAGCUUCGAUCAGUAGCUGGUCUGAGAGGACGACCAGCCACACUGGGACUGAGACACGGCCCAGACUCCUACGGGAGGCAGCAGUGGGGAAUUUUGGACAAUGGGGGCAACCCUGAACCAGCCAUGCCGCGUGAGUGAAGAAGGCCUUCGGGUUGUAAAGCUCUUUCAGCCGGAACGAAACGGUCACGGCUAAUACCUGUGACUACUGACGGUACCGGAAGAAGAAGCACCGGCUAACGACGUGCCAGCAGCCGCGGUAAUACGUAGGGUGCGAGCGUUAAUCGGAAUUACUGGGCGUAAAGCGUGCGCAGGCGGUUUUGUAAGUCAGAUGUGAAAUCCCCGGGCUUAACCUGGGAACU